CCUACGGGAGGCAGCAGUUGGGAAUCUUGGACAAUGGGGGAAACCCUGAUCCAGCCAUGCCGCGUGAGUGAUGAAGGCCUUCGGGUUGUAAAACUCUUUCGACGGGGACGAUAAUGACGGUACCCGUAGAAGAAGCUCCGGCUAACUUCGUGCCAGCAGCCGCGGUAAUACGAAGGGGGCUAGCGUUGUUCGGAAUUACUGGGCGUAAAGCGCGCGCAGGCGGUCUUCCAAGUCAGUGGUGAAAGCCCGGAGCUCAACUCCGGAACUGCCAUUGAAACUGUGAGACUUGAGGACGAGAGAGGUGAGUGGAAUUCCCAGUGUAGAGGUGAAAUUCGUAGAUAUUGGGAAGAACACCGGUGGCGAAGGCGGCUCACUGGCUCGUAUCUGACGCUCAGGCGCGACAGCGUGGGGAUCAAACAGGAUUAGAUACCCUGGUAGUCCACGCCGUAAACGAUGAAUGCUAGCCGUUGGGUAGCUUGCUAUUCAGUGGCGCAGCUAACGCAUUAAGCAUUCCGCCUGGGGAGUACGGCCGCAAGGUUGAAACUCAAAUGAAUUGACGG
rnacentral:rRNA from 1 species